GCUGAUGUGGCUCAGUGGUAGAGUGCUCGCCUAGCAUGUGUGAGGCCCUGGGUUCGAUCCUCAGCACCACA
rnacentral:tRNA from 1 species